rnacentral:rRNA from 1 species
CAUGUGUAGCGGUGGAAUGCGUAGAUAUAUGGAAGAACACCAGUGGCGAAGGCGGCUCUCUGGUCUGCAACUGACGCUGAGGCUCGAAAGCAUGGGUAGCGAACAGGAUUAGAUACCCUGGUAGUCCAUGCCGUAAACGAUGAGCGCUAGGUGUUGGGGACUUUCCGGUCCUCAGUGCCGCAGCAAACGCAUUAAGCGCUCCGCCUGGGGAGUACGACCGCAAGGUUGAAACUCAAAGGAAUUGACGGGGGCCCGCACAAGCGGUGGAGCAUGUGGUUUAAUUCGAAGCAACGCGAAGAACCUUACCAGGUCUUGACAUCCUGCGCUACACCUAGAGAUAGGUGGUUCCCUUCGGGGA